GGGUUACUCCUUUGCGCUUUCAGCGCUCAAUUUGAUAAAGAUUCGCACCUCUAUCAAACCGGGUAACCCCGCUUUUCGCAAGGCCCUACUGUCAGAUUAAAUCUGAACUACUACAGCUCAGACAAGCUUGAACUCCGACUCCUGACGUCGCGCCCGCUGACCCAGCGAUGCCU
rnacentral:sRNA from 1 species